GUGGCUGUAGCUCAGUUGGUUAGAGCGCUGGAUUGUGGUUCCAGAGGCCGGGGGUUCGAAUCCCCUUAGCCACC
rnacentral:tRNA from 1 species